ACUCAUAAACUCUGCCUGCCUCUGUCUUCCGAAUGCUGGGACUACGGAUGUGAGCUACCAUGCCCAGCCAGACCAGAAAUUGUCCUAAUGUUCCCAGCUGCACAGGAGGUGGCUGGAUAUGUCCCUGAGAGUUGCAGCUGACCCACAGCCUGCUGUGAGGCCACUGAUUCCGUCCCCCAUCAAAGGAAGGCGUGGUUCUGCCAAAGCUCACCCUAGGGAAACAAUGCAUUUCUUGGGCUUCCUUCCAGAGCAGAGAGGGGGUACAGUUGAACUCCUCAAGACUGCAGUUGCUUGGCUGGGACAAUGACAGACACAACAGCUACAUAGCAAGUUCCAGGCCAGAGUGGGCUACAUGAUUAUCAAGGCUUUCUCAAAUCAACCAACC